GGUUCCAUAGUGUAGCAGUUAGCAUGGCUGCUUUACAUGCAGAAGGUCCUGGGUUCACACCCCAGUGGAGCCA
rnacentral:tRNA from 1 species